GAUGAACGCUGGCGGCGUGCCUAAUACAUGCAAGUCGAGCGAACGGACGAGCAGCUUGCUUCUCUGAUGUUAGCGGCGGACGGGUGAGUAACACGUGGAUAACCUACCUAUAAGACUGGGAUAACUUCGGGAAACAGUAGCUAAUACCGGAUAAUAUUUUGAACCGCAUGGUUCAAAAGUGAAAGACGGUCUUGCUGUCACUUAUAGAUGGAUCCGCGCUGCAUUAGCUAGUUGGUAAGGUAACGGCUUACCAAGGCAACGAUGCAUAGCCGACCUGAGAGGGUGGUCGGCCACACUGGAACUGAGACACGGUCCAGACUCCUACGGGAGGCAGCAGUAGGGAAUCUUCCGCAAUGGGCGAAGGCCUGACGGAGCAACGCCGCGUGAGUGAUGAAGGUCUUCGGAUCGUAAAACUCUGUUAUUAGGGAAGAACAUAUGUGGAAGUAACUGUGCACAUCUUGACGGUACCUAAUCAGAAAGCCACGGCUAACUACGUG
rnacentral:rRNA from 1 species